GUCCAGGGGCGGGAAUCGAACCCACAACCUUCUGCUUACCGGGCAGGUGCCAUGUCCACUAGGCUGCCCUGGA
rnacentral:tRNA from 1 species